AGAAUAAAGCGACUGCAGAGUGUGCUGAAGUCUUUGCUGCAAGUUUGGACUUAUGAACGUUUCCAGCACCUUGCCAAGACUAAGCCAGGGAGAGCUGUGGUUGUCCUGCAACAUGUAGAUAUUGUACCAUCUUUAACUGCAGUAAUCGGAAAUGAGACGGGACAAUUCAACUCAUUUUUCACCUGCUCGGUGAUGAUCCCUCUCUGCCUGCAAAAGGACAAACUGAUGUCUCAUACUUGUAAAAGGUUUUCUGCCAAGACUAAUUUUUCAGGUAAUAAAAUUUCAGCAGCCCACCUGACCAGCAAUCCUGUCCAGAUCUCUCUGGCCCUGAGGGCUUUCCUUUCUCUCUGUCUCUCUCACCCAUUUGGGUCCUUCUCCACCAUCUUGAGGCCCUCCAGAGCCUGGA